rnacentral:pre_miRNA from 1 species
AAUAGGAUUACUGAGCCAUGUGGUAAGCAUAUAUUUAACUUUAUAAGAAACUACCAAAUUGUUUUCCAAAGUAGCUGUGCCAUUUUGCAUUCCCACUAGCAAU